GGCCUACGGGAGGCAGCAGUAGGGAAUUUUCGGCAAUGGGGGAAACCCUGACCGAGCAACGCCGCGUGAAUGAAGACGUAUUUCGGUAUGUAAAGUUCUUUUAUUAGGGAAGAAUGGCUUAUGGAAAAGUAAGCGUGACGGUACCUAAUGAAUAAGCCCCGGCUAACUAUGUGCCAGCAGCCGCGGUAAUA
rnacentral:rRNA from 1 species